rnacentral:sRNA from 1 species
CCCUAGCCCCGAUAGUAGUGGAAAUCCUUUUGUGGCGGGGUUCGCCACAAAAGAUUGCAACGGAUAGCGGGAUUAGCU